AACUUUGUGCAGGUUUCGAGCACAUGCACAAUUUAGAUCCACCAUAUGCUCAUAAUGAUGUCAAGCCUGGUAAUGUCCUCAUAACUCAUGGGAAAGGACAACAACCACUAGCCAUAUUGAUGGAUUUUGGCAGUGCUCGGCCUGCAAGGAGGCAGAUUCAAUCUUGUUCUGAGGCACUACAAUUGAAUGGGCAUCUGAGCAUUGUUCAACACCUUUUCGAGCUCCUAAGUUGUGGGAUUGUCCAAGUAAUGCAGAUAUCGAUGAGAGAGUUGAUAUUUGGUCAUUAGGAUGCACUUUAUAUGCGAUAAUGUGAUAAUGUUUUUUACCAUGUGAUUUAAGAUUUAUUGGUUUAAGUUUUCGGGUCUUUGUCUCUUGAGAGCUAUAAUAUAAUUUGAUGACAAUGUUGAAUGUUUUAAAAUAAUUUGUGGAUUGUUAAUACAA